GAAAUAGGAGAGAAGAGAAGAGGAAAGGAGGAGAGAAGAGAAGAUAAGAAUGAGAGGAGAGAAGGAGCAGAGAAGAAGAGGGAAACCCUAAAAAAUAAAAAAAUAAAAAAAGGAAAAUGCCCUUUAUAUAGCAGUGUAGUUGUAAUUGUGGAGCUCUUAAAUCUGGUUUAGCAUCGCCUUCCCAUAGCACUACCAUGAUGUUUAGAUAUUAACGUCAUAAAGGCGGGGAAAGGAGUUAUCAUUCAGGUAAUAACCGGGACAAUUUAGUAAGAAGCGAUGUGGGUGGAAACUUACCCCUUGCAAGGGCCCACUACCCUUCUUUUACCAUAAGCUCAAUGGCCUAGGUUUGGGAUAGUGGGUAUGAGAGAUGGAAUGUAUUAGGCACCCUCUUUGUCUGAACUUACCUUAAAAGAGGGGUCAACUUUUACUAUUGAUUUCUAAAGUUUUUCUUGUUGUAUCUUUUAUUAAAUUCUCUAAUCAUAUAUUUAUAAUUAUAUAUUUAUGUAAGCUAAGAUCCACACACAUUUAAAUUUAACCAUUCAAGAAAAUAACAAAUAGGUACAUGUGCAUAGAAAGUUCUAUCAUGUGAUGUUUCUAAGUUAAAAAAAAUUACCUUUUAUACCAUCUUACCCUACAUGUAUAUUUAACUAAGUCAAUUACAUGCCAAGUCAUUUUACAAAUCAUACAUAGCAUACAAAAGAAAGAUUCUUAGGCAUUUCAAUCUAAAGUAUAUGCAUAAGACGAAAAGGAGGGUCCUAAACAUGUCAAUGUUUCUAGAUUAUGUAUUUAGGCCCAUUAAUUGCCAUGUUUCCCUUUAUGCAUCUUUACUAAGUUACAUGCCAAAAGUUCAUUUGAAAAUAUUCAAAAUAAUCAAAAUAAAAUUAAAGUCCUAAACUUAAAGAAAGAGGGAGGAGAAUAAAGAUUAAAAACCUUAAAAUGACUUUUACAACUCAUAAUUAAAAAUAAAAUUAAUCCUAAAAUUAUUAUAAGGUCUUAGGCCCAUUAACUUAGUGCAAGAGGUCUUGGAGUUCCAUCUUGAAUUUUAGAUUGGGUUUGAUUCACCAAUGGGUGAAGGGGUACCAAUGAGACGCAGGAUCAAAGCGAUAUUCAAGAAAGAUAGAAUUAAUAUAAAGAAGAAGAAGAAAGAACAAUAAAUAAUAAGAAGAUGCAGUAAAAUGAAAAUGCAGUAAAAUGAAAAUGAGAAUGCAAUAAAUCAACAAGUUAUAAUAGCAUAAAAUUAUGGGCGGUAGAACCAGCCACAGAAAUAGAUAUAAAGAAUAAAAUAACAAGUUAUAAAAGCAUUAAAAUAUGGGUGGUAGAACCAGCCACGGAUAUAGAUUUGAAGAAUAAAACAAAUAAAGAUUGUAAGAAGAUAGUUUUAUUAAAGCUCUGAUAGCGGACACUCACAAGGAGAUAGGAUAAGGAAAGGGAGAGCUACUUCUAAGGAAAACUUGUAAAGAAAAACUUGUAAAAUGAAGUAGAGAGCCUCUUCCUUUUAUAGAUGAAGGAAAGAGGUUUACAAUGAUUAUAAGUUACUAUUACACAUGUGAAAGGUAAAAAGAUAUAUAAGUGGAGUGAAAAAUGUCAAAAGUUGUUGCAAGUGGAAUUCCUGUAGCCAUGUGAUGACCAGAGUUGUCUUGAUGAUAGCCGGAAAAGUUGACCUUGAACUAUAGGCAUGUGAAGAGUUACUGGAGCUUUAAGGCAGACAAUAUUCCAAAGCAGUCAUCCUCGUUAUCAUUACCGAGACUGACGACAUCAGAAGAUGAGCUAGCUUGGCUUGGAGUUUUUGAAGUGGAUGACCUGUUACUCAGCAAUUGUUGCAUGAUAGUUAAAUAUUCUUCUUCAGACUUGGCCUGGGCCAAGAGGGAUUGAGCAUUUGAUUUUUGGGCCAAAAAAGUCGUAGGGUUUUGGGCAGAAGUUGAAGGAAGUUGUCUUUGCUCCUUAGGCUGUUUGAGUAGCCAUUGUUCCACAGCUUCUAAGGAGGCCUUUUGAUGCUUUUGAAAUUUGGACCACCAUCUAAUUUUGAACUUGCGAAUUAGAACUGGCCCUUGGAGAAGUUGAUCAGUUUUGUAACCAUAGUCCCAUGAAAGAACCCAUGGCACAAAGAACUUCAAAGCAAAUAGUAUGAGGGAAUGAAAUAUGUCUUCUUCAGUUGUAGGCUUAUAGCGAGCCUUGAAAGUUGUAUACCCUUGAUUGAUUUCGGAGGGUAAUAUUUCAGGGAUAGCUCCCAUCCAGUUCCACCAUUGGGCAAACCAUCUGGGAAAGUGAAAUUUGGAGACGAUAUGGAAGAAAAAUAGCUAAGUGUGACAGUUGCUGGGGUUUUGGAUUAGAAAAGCAUUUAUCCAAGCUUGGUGGUAAUCCCAAUAUAUGAAAGUUGUAGUAGAAGGGAUGCUUUGACCAAAUCUAGCUUGAAAUUUCUUUGGGGCAGAUAAGUCUUGUCCCCAAUUGGCAGGGUGGAUAACUUUGAGUAUAGUGCAGGUGGAAUAGUUUGGGACAGGGGAGUUUUCUGGGAAGUGUUUAAUUUUGACCGACCCAAUUUCAAUCAAGAUACUUUAGUAGUAAGCUGGAUCUUUAGACUUAUCCCACGGCUUGAAGUGCCAAGAACCAAAGAACUUAGCUGCACAUAAACGAGGGUUAGAAUCAUAAAAUCCAUCCUCAAUAGUUAAAAUACUUUGAUAAGAAUCCUUUAAAAUCCAGUUGAAUGCUGAACCAGAGUUUUGAGAAAAGUUUUGUGAAACCAUUGGCUCAUUUGAUUUUAAAGUCAAAUCCAUUGAAGGAACAAGUUUAGGAGUUGAAACAGUUUGAGAAAGUGAUUUUUGAGAGAGAGUUUUUUGGUUUUGAACAAUAAUUUCUCUCUCAGCUUCUUGAGAGCAAGCUUGAGUUAAAAGUUUUUUGGGUUGUCCUUUUGGGAGCGAAACUCUGAGGGACUGGCAAAGUUGUGGGUGAUUAAUAAGGCCUGCAAGCCACACUUGCAAGUCACUUGGAGAAAGUUGUUCUGGAGGAGUUUGGGAAGUUGAAGGUUGGUCAAGUUGAUCUAUUUCUUUUUGGAAUAAAGCAUUCCAUGAAACAAUAGGGCUUUGGGAAGUCAUCUUAGGUUGGCUUAGUGUAAGUUGUUGAGAGGAAGCUUGGGGUUUGGGUGAAGUUUUCUUUGAGGUAGAAGCUGAAGCUUUUUCUUUUGUUGAUUCUUCAAUCUUCUUUCUUGGAAUCAUUGUGAGGAGUCUGUAAGAAUUCACGAGUUAGGAAGUCAGGGAUAGAAUUCAUAUCUCCUCUAAUAUAUUCGAUAUCAAAGUCAAAAAUACUUAAAAUAGCUUGCCAACGAGCAAAGAUUUGUUUGGAAGCAAUGUUUUGAACAUCCUUUUUCAAAACCUCUUUUGCAAAUUUGCAGUCAAUUCGAAGCAACAGUUUUUUAUUAAGCAAAUCACUUUGAAAUUUUUGAAUGCAGAUGACUAUUGAUAAAAUUUCUUUUUUAAUAGUGGAAUAAUUUUUCUGGGUUUCAUCCCAAUGUCCAGAAACAUACUGAACUAUAACUUCUUUGUUAUUUUUAAGUUGCUUUAGAAUUCCUCCAUAUCCAAGAUCAGAGGCAUCAGUUUCAACAAUUUUAAAAGCAAAUGGAUCAGCAAGAUGUAAGCAAGGAAUUUGCUUUAUUUGGGUUUUGAUUUUCUGAAAAAGGGAAGUGUGUUCCUGUGUCCAGGGCUUAGGAUUCUUUUUGAGUCUUUCAUGAAGUGAUUGAAGCAGUUUAUUUAAGUUUGGAAAGAAAUCUAAGACAUAGUUUAAACAUCCUAGAAAUCUUUGAAGUUGAGUUUUCUCAAUAAUUUUGUCAGGAAACUUAUUAGUGAAAGCAAGUGACCUUUCUAUUGGUGAGAUUGUACCAUUGGAGAUAUAGUGUCCUAAGAACCUAAUCCUAGUCUGGAAAAGACUAAUUUUGGACUUAGAAACUACUAAUCCAUUUCUUUUAGCAACAAGGAUAAAAGUUCUUAGAUGUUUGAAAUGUUGCUCAAUAGAAGAUGAAAAGAUUAAGACAUCAUCAAUGUAAACUAUGCAAAAUGCAGAGUAUGGAUUAAAAAUGUCAUUCAUGAUGCGUUGAAAUUCAGAUGGGGCAUUUUUCAAACCAAAUGGCAUGACAUUCCAUUCAUAUUGGCCAAACGGGAUGGUGAAAGCAGUUUUGUAAUGAUCUUUGAGAGCUAUUUGUAUUUGCCAAAAGUCAGAUUUCAUGUCAAACUUUGAAAAGAUUUUUGCAGCAAAAAGUUUUUGAAGAAGAUCCUUUUUGUUUGGAAUCGGGUAACGAAUCCAUUUCAAAGCCUUGUUAAGAGGCUUAUAGUUAAUAACAAGUCGAGGGACUCCUCUUUCAAUUUCUGAAGAUUUGUUAACAUAAAAAGCAGCACAACUCCAGGGGGACCUUGAAGCAGAAAUUAAAUUUUUAGAAAGCAAAUCUUUAAUUUCAUUUCUACAGUGGUCUUCAAGUUCUUUAUUCAUUUGAAUUGGGCGGGCUUUAGUAGGAAUUUGAGAUUCUUGAAAAUCAUUUUCGUAAGGUAGAUCAACAACAUGUUGUUUUCUUUCCCAAAAAGCAUUCGGAAGAUCUGAACAAACAGUAUUUUCUAUUUGUCAUUGAAGAAGAGAAAUCCUUUUCUUUAAAACAGGAUGUUGAAGUUGAAGUUGAUUUUGAAUUCUUUGGAUUAAAACAGUUUUUCUUAGGUUUUGGAGUUCUAUUUCCUUUGACAAAAUCAGACAGUUGAGUUGAUUUUCAUAAACAGAGCAGGCUUUAAUAAUGUGCAAGUUACGAGUUUGGGGUUUUUCAAUAAAAGGGAAAACAACCUUCUUUCCUUUAAGUUUAGCAGAAAUAUGAUCAUAAUUAACAGCAUAAGGAGUAAUAAGAUUUAUGAAUGGAGUGCCAAGUAUGACCGUAUGAUGAAUGUUAUGCACAAGCAAGAAUGAAGUUUUGAUUUGCAAACCGUUAUUCAAAACGUAUGCAUCAGUUUUUGAAUCAAUUUCGAGAUAAGAGUUAUUAGCGGCCUUGAGCUUUUCAGUAGUUACUUCUUGAAAUGCUUUUGGAAUUAUUUCUU
rnacentral:misc_RNA from 1 species